rnacentral:rRNA from 1 species
GGGUUGUGAGGUUAAGCGACUAAGCGUACACGGUGGAUGCCCUGGCAGUCAGAGGCGAUGAAGGACGUGCUAAUCUGCGAAAAGCGUCGGUAAGGUGAUAUGAACCGUUAUAACCGGCGAUGUCCGAAUGGGGAAACCCAGUGCAAUUCGUUGCACUAUCGUUAACUGAAUACAUAGGUUAACGAGGCGAACCGGGGGAACUGAAACAUCUAAGUACCCCGAGGAAAAGAAAUCAACCGAGAUUCCCCCAGUAGCGGCGAGCGAACGGGGAGCAGCCCAGAGUCUGAAUCAGCUUGUGUGUUAGUGGAACGGUCUGGAAAGUCCGACGGUACAGGGUGAUAGUCCCGUACACCAAAAUGCACAGGCUGUGAACUCGAAGAGUAGGGCGGGACACGUGGUAUCCUGUCUGAAUAUGGGGGGACCAUCCUCCAAGGCUAAAUACUCCUGACUGACCGAUAGUGAACCAGUACCGUGAGGGAAAGGCGAAAAGAACCCCGGCGAGGGGAGUGAAAAAGAACCUGAAACCGUGUACGUACAAGCAGUGGGAGCACCUUCGGGUGUGACUGCGUACCUUUUGUAUAAUGGGUCAGCGACUUAUAUUCUGUAGCAAGGUUAACCGUAUAGGGAGCCGCAGGAAACCGAGUCUUAACUGGGCGUUAAGUUGCAGGGUAUAGACCCGAAACCCGGUGAUUCAGCCAUGGGCAGGUUGAAGGUUGGGUAACACUAACUGGAGGACCGAACCGACUAAUGUUGAAAAAUUAGCGGAUGACUUGUGGCUGGGGGUGAAAGGCCAAUCAAACCGGGAGAUAGCUGGUUCUCCCCGAAAGCUAUUUAGGUAGCGCCUCGUGAACUCAUCUUCGGGGGUAGAGCACUGUUUCGGCUAGGGGGUCAUCCCGACUUACCAACCCGAUGCAAACUACGAAUACCGAAGAAUGUUAUCACGGGAGACACACGGCGGGUGCUAACGUCCGUCGUGAAGGGAAACAACCCAGACCGCCAGCUAAGGUCCCAAAGUCAUGGUUAAGUGGGAAACGAUGUGGGAAGGCACAGACAGCCAGGAUGUUGGCUUAGAAGCAGCCAUCAUUUAAAGAAAGCGUAAUAGCUCACUGGUCGAGUCGGCCUGCGCGGAAGAUGUAACGGGGCUAAACCAUGCACCGAAGCUGCGGCAGCGACACUAUGUGUUGUUGGGUAGGGGAGCGUUCUGUAAGCCUGCGAAGGUGUGCUGUGAGGCAUGCUGGAGGUAUCAGAAGUGCGAAUGCUGACAUAAGUAACGAUAAAGCGGGUGAAAAGCCCGCUCGCCGGAAGACCAAGGGUUCCUGUCCAACGUUAAUCGGGGCAGGGUGAGUCGACCCCUAAGGCGAGGCCGAAAGGCGUAGUCGAUGGGAAACAGGUUAAUAUUCCUGUACUUGGUGUUACUGCGAAGGGGACGGAGAAGGCUAUGUUAGCCGGGCGACGGUUGUCCCGGUUUAAGCAUGUAGGCUGGUUAUCGGGCAAAUCCGGAUAAUCAAGGCUGAGGUGUGAUGACGAGGCACUACGGUGCUGAAGUAACAAAUGCCCUGCUUCCAGGAAAAGCCUCUAAGCAUCAGGUAACAUCAAAUCGUACCCCAAACCGACACAGGUGGUCAGGUAGAGAAUACCAAGGCGCUUGAGAGAACUCGGGUGAAGGAACUAGGCAAAAUGGUGCCGUAACUUCGGGAGAAGGCACGCUGGUGUGUAGGUGAAGUCCCUGCGGAUGGAGCUGAGACCAGUCGAAGAUACCAGCUGGCUGCAACUGUUUAUUAAAAACACAGCACUGUGCAAACACGAAAGUGGACGUAUACGGUGUGACGCCUGCCCGGUGCCGGAAGGUUAAUUGAUGGGGUUAUCCGUAAGGAGAAGCUCUUGAUCGAAGCCCCGGUAAACGGCGGCCGUAACUAUAACGGUCCUAAGGUAGCGAAAUUCCUUGUCGGGUAAGUUCCGACCUGCACGAAUGGCGUAAUGAUGGCCAGGCUGUCUCCACCCGAGACUCAGUGAAAUUGAACUCGCUGUGAAGAUGCAGUGUACCCGCGGCAAGACGGAAAGACCCCGUGAACCUUUACUAUAGCUUGACACUGAACAUUGAGCCUUGAUGUGUAGGAUAGGUGGAGGCUUUGAAGCGUGGACGCCAGUCUGCGUGGAGCCAACCUUGAAAUACCACCCUUUAAUGUUUGAUGUUCUAACGUUGGCCCCUGACCGGGGUUGCGGACAGUGUCUGGUGGGUAGUUUGACUGGGGCGGUCUCCUCCCAAAGCGUAACGGAGGAGCACGAAGGUUAGCUAAUCGGUCGGACAUCAGGAGGUUAGUGCAAUGGCAUAAGCUAGCUUGACUGCGAGCGUGACGGCGCGAGCAGGUGCGAAAGCAGGUCAUAGUGAUCCGGUGGUUCUGAAUGGAAGGGCCAUCGCUCAACGGAUAAAAGGUACUCCGGGGAUAACAGGCUGAUACCGCCCAAGAGUUCAUAUCGACGGCGGUGUUUGGCACCUCGAUGUCGGCUCAUCACAUCCUGGGGCUGAAGUAGGUCCCAAGGGUAUGGCUGUUCGCCAUUUAAAGUGGUACGCGAGCUGGGUUUAGAACGUCGUGAGACAGUUCGGUCCCUAUCUGCCGUGGGCGCUGGAGAAUUGAGGGGGGCUGCUCCUAGUACGAGAGGACCGGAGUGGACGCAUCACUGGUGUUCGGGUUGUCAUGCCAAUGGCACUGCCCGGUAGCUAAAUGCGGAAGAGAUAAGUGCUGAAAGCAUCUAAGCACGAAACUUGCCCCGAGAUGAGUUCUCCCUGAGACUUUAAGUCUCCUGAAGGAACGUUGAAGACGACGACGUUGAUAGGCCGGGUGUGUAAGCGCAGCGAUGCGUUGAGCUAACCGGUACUAAUGAACCGUGAGGCUUAACCUUACAACGCCGAAG